rnacentral:rRNA from 1 species
CCUACGGGAGGCAGCAGUGAGGAAUAUUGGUCAAUGGACGAGAGUCUGAACCAGCCAAGUAGCGUGAAGGAUGACGGCCCUACGGGUUGUAAACUUCUUUUGUCAGGGAGCAAUUGGGUCCACGCGUGGGCUUAGCGAGAGUACCUGAAGAAAAAGCAUCGGCUAACUCCGUGCCAGCAGCCGCGGUAAUACGGAGGAUGCGAGCGUUAUCCGGAUUUAUUGGGUUUAAAGGGUGCGUAGGCGGAUCGUUAAGUCAGUGGUCAAAUUGAGGGGCUCAACCCCUUCCCGCCAUUGAAACUGGCGCUCUUGAGUGGAAGAGAAGUAUGCGGAAUGCGUGGUGUAGCGGUGAAAUGCAUAGAUAUCACGCAGAACCCCGAUUGCGAAGGCAGCAUGCCGGCUUCCGACUGACGCUGAAGCACGAAAGCGUGGGGAUCGAACAGGAUUAGAUACCCUUGUAGUC